rnacentral:lncRNA from 1 species
UUUUUUUUUUUUUUUUUUCUUUUUUGCUAUACCCAUGGCAUGCAGCAAUUCCCAGGCCAGGGGUUGAACCUGCACCACAGCAACCACUGGAGCUUCUGCAGUGACAACCCUAGGUCCUUAACCCACUGAGCCACAAGGGAACUCCUUUUCCCUCCUAAUCAGUGGUAAGAAGAGCCAUGAGAGUAUCAAAGCCCUCAUUUUUGGACCUUUCUCUCCAACCCAGAACCACCACUGAACAACUAAAGAAGCUUGGUUCAGGUCUUGUUGGCAAAACUCCAAACCUGUAGCGAGUUUGUCAGAACCUAAGUUCAGCUGCUUUCUUAUAGCAUCUGCAGUCAAGUAAGAUCAGCCCCUAUUGGCACUAAAACAUCCAAAUCUACACACCACCUGGAAUCAGGAGUCCACUGCUCAGGGGUGGACCAGAGGGCCCUGGCUGAGCCAAACUUUGCUUCCCAGGGCUUCAUUCAUGGCACUAUUACCUACUUUUCUGUCAGUUUCAAGACAUUGUGCCUAAAAUGACCUAUGCAAGUGGUUCUUCCACUAACCUGGAGCUCAUCUGAGUCCUCACUACCCAACAUUUUUGAAUUCUUGUCACAGAAUGCUUUUUAAAUAUUUUCUUGAUGUUUUGUUUGUUUUUCCUUUAUUUUUUAGGGCCGCACCCACGGCAUAUGGAAGUUCCCAGGCUAGGGAUUGAAUCAGAGCUGUAGCCACUGGCCUAUGCUACAGCCACAGCCACGCAGGAUCCCAGCCACAUCUGCGACCUACACCACAGCUCACAGCAGCACUGGAUCCUUAACCCACUGAGCAAGGCCAGGGAUCAAACCUGUGUCCUCAUGCAUAGUAGUCAAAUUUAUGUUUUCUUGGUGUAUUCAGACCUCUGGCUUCUCCUUCUUUUAGUGUCACAGAUUUCCACCCCUAUACUAUUUCCUGGACUCCUCCUGUCUGACAUUUGCCCCCUGACCCCAUGUGCCGUGGCUGCCACUGGACCUAGUCUAGACAUACCAGGUUAGAAUGGGAACUGUUUUCACUGCAGUCAGACACUAAAUUGUCACAUGGUUCCAUGGCCCUCAGUACAGCCGGUUGUGCUUUGGCAACAUGAGGCUUUUUUUUUUUUCCCUGUGUUUUAAAGUUUUAUUGAUGUAUGGUUGAUUUACAAGGUUGUACUGGUUUCUGCUUUACCAGAAAGUGAUUCAGUUAUACAUGUACACUCGUCCAUUCUCUUUUAGAUUCUUUGUCUUUUUAGGGUUGCUCCUUCGACAUAUGUAAGUUCCCAGGCUAGGGGUUGAAUUGGUGCUAUUGCUGCUAGUCUAUACCACAGCCACAGCAAUGCGGGAUCCAAGACGUGUCUACAGCCUAUACCACAGCUCAAGGCAACACCAGAUCCUUAAUCCACUGAGUGAGGCCAGGGAUCGAACUUGCAUCCUCAUGGUUACUAGUUAGAUUCAUUUCUACUGUGCCACAAUGGGAACUCCCAAAGUUCUCUUUUCUUGAUUGAACAAACUUUUGUUAGGGACCUACUCUCUGCUAAGUAUUCUGUAAAAAUUAUUACCUACACCUCACUCCACAAAUCCACAGCACUCCUCACCACUGCCUCAAGAUUUUUGGUUUCAAACUGGACCCGAGGAAGUGUUAGUGUGAAGGGAAACAGCUGACCCUGAAUGCUUUACUCUCUGAAGCAUGAACCCAAAGUUUUCUCUGAUUUAUGAGUCACAGUCAUGAUGACAACAUUCUUUGAUGUUAUUUUCCUUGCAAUGUUAGUAAAAGGAAUUUCCUAUCCUCCUCACAGGGGUUUUGGGUAAAUUAAUGCUGCUUCUGGAAUACUUCAAAGGAGGUAUAAAGGCACGAAGUAUUUCAGUGUCUUUCUCCAUGUUUAUUUCCAAAACAUCCAAGACCAGCACUGUCCAGUAGAAAUAGAAUGUGGAAUACAUAUAUAAUUUUUAUUUUUCUAGAAUCACCUUUUAACAAAGUAAGAGGAAACAAGUGAUAGAUAUUUUGAUAAUAUAUUCUUACUUAACCCUUUACAUUCAAAAUACUAUCACUAAGCCUUUAAAAUUUCCUGUGUAUCAUAUACUUACAGUACAUCUCAGUGAAGACAUAUUUCAUAAACCACAUGUGGCUAGUGGCUGCCACACUAAACAGCAGGGUUCUAGGUAACCAGUUAGGGAAAGACAUGUGAAUUAUCACACUUCUGUGAUUGACAGAACCCCUCCAAUCACCACGAUAUUAGACCUUGCUUAAAGAUAACCUACAGAUUGGAAACAGUGUUUUUGAUUUUUCAAAGCUUAGAAGAUUAAAAAAUUGAUGAGCUUGGCCCAAUGCCUUGCUUAGAUCUUGUCUAAAUGUGAAAGGCUUUCCAUUACAGUUCUGAUUGGAAGAAUUUAAGAUGUUACCGUUCCUUGAGUAAGAUUUUUGAUACUAGACGACUCCACCUUUGGAACUGAGCUCUCUCCAAUGCACCAACCUGAUUUAUGAUGAGGAUCUUCAUAUCAGCAUCAGAAAACAAGUUCACAAGGCUAUUCAAGUUAGACACCAUCCUUUGCAUAUCUUGUGGUAUGUCUGGUGGCACCAUGCCCUUGGCAAAGGUCAGAGACACAGACAUGGAGACUGAAGGACGGUUUACAGUCUCGUGAUAAUUAACUUUGUAGACAUAAAGUUUCUGACCCUGAAAAGAGAAGCCUCCAUCCAUUGAGAAAAAGUGUCUGGUCUCUUCCUGUGGGAGAAUGUUUUGCCUCAAUGUAAACAAAUUCAAGAGUUGAAAAAUGAAGUGCAAAAAUGCCCUCUUCGGCAUAAACAACCAAACUAGUUAGGAUAUGAUUUUCCUGGAAUGUGUUGUGAAUUCCAAAGGCAGGCACACACUUGUCAGAGAACAGGCCGUUCCUCAGAUGGUCAUAGCCUGAAGAUUUCGUUGGAUACCUGCCUGCAUUAAAUUCCACAAACCCAAAUCUAUGUUUACAUAUUUCAUGUUUGUCUACAUACUCAGAUAUUUUCUGAUUUCUAAUUAAGGAAAAAGCAAGGCACAGGGAGUGUUUGUUUCAAAGAACAACUUGGUUUUGAAGCCCAUUAGAAGCAACCCAAUUUGGUAGCUUCACUGCAUAUCUGAAAUCGUCACUGAAUAGUAUAAGCGCCUUCUUGUAUCUCUGGCACCCACCUUGCUUUUUGUUUUUCCUUUUAUAACAGAGAUCCAACACAUUGACUAAAGAGAGAAAAGUUUCCCAGACUACAUGAGUAUCUUCACAUAACUGCACCAGGGUAGGGUUCAUCAAGCUACUAAAUAUCCAGCCAGGUCGGGAUAUAUCUCCUGCUCCUCAUAUUUCUAUCUGGAAGGCUCUCCAUCCAUUUACCCUUUUACCUUCUAACUGGACUGAGAUGGGGAUGAGGCUAGUAAGUUACUCAUGUGAACUGAGAAAUUUAAGGAUGCACCCCCAAACUCAAUGAUCAGAAAAUAAUAAUUUUUAAUACAAUAUCUUCAAAAGUCAAAACAUGCAAAACAUCUAAGAUGAACAAAAUAUGAAAAUUGUAUAUGAUGACACCCUGCCUCACUUGCUGUACCCUGUUCAGCCUCCUGCUUUUAGGAAGAGGAGUGUUACUCAGAUGGGCCCAAGAGGGCCUAUAGUUGCUGAGGUCAUUAGCCAGCCCACCUCCCUAUUAGAAUAAGUAAGCAUCAGGUCCCCCAGCAGCAGUCUUGGUGAGAAGGGUAAUACUUUGCCCUCCAACUGCCUGGCUCCUGUGGGCAGUAUCUCCCUCAAUACAUUCUGAACGCAGGGGUAAAGAGAGGAGUCAGCACUGAUUCCACUGACAUCCAAAUGGAACACCAGAAUCCCUGCACAUCCUUCUAUGACAAAUAGUCUCAUUUCAGUCGGAGGGUGGGCCUCAGUCUCUCUUUCUUAUUGGUCCUUAGGACGAUCAUGGUUGUGCUGUUCCAAUGUUAAUUACCUUAAGUUCACAAACUAAAAAUAGUCUUCAACAUAUUGUAUUCCCUUUGGGGUUUACUUCUGUUUAAUCCUAUAGUUGGUACUUGAAAAAAGAUUUAAGCCUUUCUUAGUUAGACCCUAAGUGAUCAUAGGCCUAGCUCCCAAGAGCUUCAGAGAAGGUCCACCACCACCAUUAUCACCAUUUAUUGACUUCAGAACACAACAUGAUAUGAAUUGCAUCUAAAUCUCUCUGACUUCAAAUGACUUGUGGUCUGACAGAGCCAAAUCAACAAAUAAAGAACAAUAAAGUAAAAAUUGGAGUUCCCAUCAUGGCUCAGCAGUUAGCAAACCAACUAGUAUCCACGAGGACACGGGUUCAAUCCCUGGCCUCACUCAGUGGGUUAAGGAUCUGGCUUUGCUGUGAGAUGUGGUGUAGGUCACAUACGCGGCUCAGAUCCUGUGUUCCUGUGGUUGUGGCAUAGGCCGGUAACUAUAGCUCCGAUUUGAUCCCUAGCCUGGGAAUCUCCAUAUGCCGUGGGUACAGCCCCAAAAAGACCAAAAAAUAAAUAAAUAAACUAAAAAGCAGUAAAGUAAAAAUGGAGUAAGUAGUGAAUAAUUAAGGGCACAAAUAUCUUCCCAAAGAAGAAAAUGAAUUCUACUGUUAUGCUACUGUUUUGAGUUGUUAUUACCAAGGUAGAAAUAAGAUAGAGACAGUAGUAGCAGUGUUCCUAGAUAAGAGGUUCAUAGAACAACAAUGGUGUCAUACAGUUAAGAAAAUAAAACUUACUUGAAAUCAUAGGUAAUGUUUCUGAGAAUCUUGAGGCCAAAAGAGAGGUGGAAAUUAUCGGAGUUUGAGCACACUAACCAGAUAGGAGAGAGAGAGACAGUAGCCAGGUAGGUCGAAGGUAAGAAAGUGCUCUCCGGAAAAAAAAGUGGCAGGCUCCAGAAAUUAUUGGUAACAAAGGACAUAGCCUCCUCCAUCUAUGGUCAACCAUCUGCUUUCCACCUGUCCCCUCUAACCGCACACACAAAAAAAUAGGUCCUCAUCUGCUUGCUAAUGCCUGGAAUCUCCAUAUCUGGGAAUAAAGGCAUUUAUGUCAGGUUGGAUUAUGAAUCCUUAAUUCAGGGAGUUCCCGUCAUGGAUGAGUGGUUAACGAACCCGAUUAGCAUCCAUGAGGAUGCGGGUUUGAUCCCUGGCCUCACUUAGUGGAUUAAGAAACCCUCCUUGCCAUGACCUGUGGUUGCAGACUAGGCUUGGAUCCUGUGUUGCUGUGGCUGUGGUGUAGGCCGGCGGCCACGGCCCCAACUGGACUCCUAGCCUGGGAACCUCCAGA